ACAAAUGCCCUGCUUCCAGGAAAAGCCUCUAAGCAUCAGGUAACAUCAAAUCGUACCCCAAACCGACACAGGUGGUCAGGUAGAGAAUACCAAGGCGCUUGAGAGAACUCGGGUGAAGGAACUAGGCAAAAUGGUGCCGUAACUUCGGGAGAAGGCACGCUGACAUGUAGGUGAAGCCCCUGCGGGUGGAGCUGAAGUCAGUCGAAGAUACCAGCUGGCUGCAACUGUUUAUUAAAAACACAGCACUGUGCAAACACGAAAGUGGACGUAUACGGUGUGACGCCUGCCCGGUGCCGGAAGGUUAAUUGAUGGGGUUAUCGCAAGAGAAGCUCCUGAUCGAAGCCCCGGUAAACGGCGGCCGUAACUAUAACGGUCCUAAGGUAGCGAAAUUCCUUGUCGGGUAAGUUCCGACCUGCACGAAUGGCGUAAUGAUGGCCAGGCUGUCUCCACCCGAGACUCAGUGAAAUUGAACUCGCUGUGAAGAUGCAGUGUACCCGCGGCAAGACGGAAAGACCCCGUGAACCUUUACUACAGCUUGACACUGAACAUUGAGCCUUGAUGUGUAGGAUAGGUGGGAGGCUUUGAAGCGUGGACGCCAGUCUGCGUGGAGCCAACCUUGAAAUACCACCCUUUAAUGUUUGAUGUUCUAACCUGGCGCCGUAAUCCGGCGUGGGGACAGUGUCUGGUGGGUAGUUUGACUGGGGCGGUCUCCUCCCAAAGUGUAACGGAGGAGCACGAAGGUCAGCUAAUCCUGGUCGGACAUCAGGAGGUUAGUGCAAUGGCAUAAGCUGGCUUGACUGCGAGAGUGACGGCUCGAGCAGGUGCGAAAGCAGGUCAUAGUGAUCCGGUGGUUCUGUAUGGAAGGGCCAUCGCUCAACGGAUAAAAGGUACUCCGGGGAUAACAGGCUGAUACCGCCCAAGAGUUCAUAUCGACGGCGGUGUUUGGCACCUCGAUGUCGGCUCAUCACAUCCUGGGGCUGAAGUAGGUCCCAAGGGUAUGGCUGUUCGCCAUUUAAAGUGGUACGCGAGCUGGGUUUAGAACGUCGUGAGACAGUUCGGUCCCUAUCUGCCGUGGGCGCUGGAGAAUUGAGGGGGGCUGCUCCCAGUACGAGAGGACCGGAGUGGACGCAUCACUGGUGUUCGGGUUGUCAUGCCAAUGGCACUGCCCGGUAGCUAAAUGCGGAAGAGAUAAGUGCUGAAAGCAUCUAAGCACGAAACUUGCCCCGAGAUGAGUUCUCCCUGAGACUAUAAGUCUCCUGAAGGAACGUUGAAGACGACGACGUUGAUAGGCCGGGUGUGUAAGCGCAGCGAUGCGUUGAGCUAACCGGUACUAAUGAACCGUGAGGCUUAACC
rnacentral:rRNA from 1 species